UUAAGUGUAAAAGAAGAAAGAUAAUAAAGACAACGAGUUAAUAGGCCUUGUACCAGCUAUUUAAUAAAGAGUUCGUAACAGUUCACUCGAUAAACUAUUAUUCUUCGAAAAUUUUGGUGGCUUAAAAAAAAAGGGGGGGCGUCAGAGGCUAAGCCCCCUAGCUUUAAAGGAUCGGAAGCCCAGGAUCCAUUGGAUCCUGGGCGCCUUCGGCGCCGAUCCUUUUUUAUCCGAAACUAUGGAUAGACGAAAGCCGCAAAAGUUUUUUUGGGGUUUCGGAAAUUGGUAGCAGAACGUAUAGUAUAAAAAGUAUGGGUGACCAAUAUCAAUAGUGAUAAUGCGAACAUGAGUAGUAACAUCGGAUCCGAUGGAUCCCAGCCUAAGGUUUCCAAGAAGGGCCUAUAAAGUUCUCUGGGUGAACCAGUCCCUAAAUUAAAAAAUAAAAUGAAAAAGGUAGAAGCCAGGCUUCGCUUGGCUGUCGGGUUUUUUCAUUGGCCCAAAAGGUACCGAGGGCGCCUUCGGCGCCCUUGGGGGCCCUUUGAUGGGGUUUUUUUCUAAAAUACUGAUUAAUAGCCCAGGAAAUAAUUAGAAUUUGUAAAGACUGUACUAAAAUCUUACAAAAGUGGGCUUAUAAAAAAGGAGAAUUAUUAUUAAGGAACUCGGCAAAUUGCACGUGUAAGAUUUCGAGAAACGUGAAAAACCCUUUAUGAGAGGGACACCUCCUAAAGAGUAUUUUUAAAAUAAAAGGGAGCCUCGCCUGUUUACCAAAAACAUAGUUUUCAGCAAUUAACGCAAAAGCUUAGUAUUGAAAAUGAUGCCUGCCCAAUGAUUGUAUCUGAAAGGAAAGAAAGGGGGGUGGCGCGCAGCAGAAAGCCCCCCCUAAAAGUAUUUGGCUUUCUAUAAGGACAAUUGAAUGGCCGCGGUAACUCUGACCGUGAUAAUGUAGCGAAAUCACUAGCCAGUUAAUUGCUGGCCUGUAUGAAUGGCUUAACGAGGGCUCCACUGUCUCAAUAAUAAACCGGGUGAAAUUGGAAAAACGGUAAAGAUACCGUAAAGGAAUUCUAAGACGAGAAGACCCCAUUGAGCUUUACUAUUAACUUGUAUUGCCAAAGCAAAUAAAAGGGAACUCUCCCUUGCUUUAUAAUAAAAUUGAGUAGACUAAGUGGGAAAAAAGGGAUGUUAGUCCCCUUUUUAUGGCCGAUUCAUUGGAUUGGGCCCCCAAAAGAUACCUUUUGGGGCCAUUGGCGUAGAGAGGGGGGAUCCGAUUUUCGGAUCGGCGCCGAAGGCGCCCAACCCUACUCGAUUUUUAUGAAAAACCACUCUUUUUAUUAGGAUUACUGGCUAAAACCGUACAAGUAAGGUAGUUUGGUUGGGGCGACCGCCUUCGAAAAAGUAUCGAAGGCGUACAUAAGAUUAAUCCGGGGGGGGUGUCCUUUUUUCACCCCCAAACAAACCGGGGGUAAUGCCCCAAAAAAGAUUAGUUUGACUGAGAGGGCUACAACCCGAACAGGCGCUUUUAGGUUGGGGCCCGGUUUUUACCAAGGGGCCUAAUUGACCAGCGGGCUCCUUUUUAGCCCGGGUCGAACCUAGCGGGUCAUAGUGAUCCGUUGUUAUAUUGUGGGAUAGACAACGAUCAACGAAGAAAAGUUACCAUGGGGAUAACAGCGUAAUAUCGUUUUAGAGUACCUAUCGCUGACGAUGUUUGCGACCUCGAUGUUGAAUUGUGAUAUCCAGGAGGUGCAGCAGCUUCCAAGGGUUGGACUGUUCGUCCAUUAAAAUCAUACAUGAUUUGAGUUCUGUGCGACGAGAAGUC
rnacentral:rRNA from 1 species